AUCAUACAGAGAUCUUGUUAAAAUGCAGAUUCCAAUUCAGCAUGUCUAUAGAGUGGGGCCCGAGAGUCUGCAUUUCUAACAAGCUCCCUAGUGAUGGUGC
rnacentral:pre_miRNA from 1 species